UUGAGUCCAUGUAAAAAGGUGAUGCUAUCCAAUUAAAGAAGGACAUUUAGAGUUUUGCAUCUCUAUAAUGAGCACCUAGUAGUAGGGUGAGGAACCAUGGAAAAAGGAAGGGAAAGCUAACAGAACUGGAGGAUUCAGGGAAUGUAAGGAACAGCAGAUGUCUUAGAAGCCAUGGAAAUUCUAGGAGCCUAAGGGCAGCUGGGUCAUCUUGAGACUAGAGAAGAAAAUACAUCAUUGGGGAUGAAGACUAAAAGAAGGGAUAUUUAUACAGAAAAAGAGGAGAGUUCCCUCUGAUUUCUAUCAGACCUUGUGGUUAACAUCUUGUUUCUUGCUAUCAUGCCAACUAAGAAAGCAGCAGUAGACCCUCCUUUUGUACAUUUGGUUUCUUCAACAUUAGUUUGGAAAUUGGCCCUUAAGGUGAUUGGAAACAGGCAUGGAUGCUGAGUUUGGGACUGUUCUCUGAACUCAGAAUUCUGAGGCACUAGAAAGAAGGAAAAGAAAGAAAACAGAAGAGGAAGAAAGACCAUCUUUCCAAAUACCUAUCAAAGGGUGGGGCUUCCAUUGAACACUUGGAUGCCCAUUUCCACUUCAUGAAUUCAGGGACAGCAAACCUGCAGACAGUGCUGCAUUUAGUAACCACCACCUGCUGAGUAACUCCUAAAGCAACAACCAUGCUACACCCCCACCCCCAGCUUCCAGCACGAACUCAAGAAGAGACUCAUUCCAGAAGAAGAAAAAAAGUGCAUCGUGUUCUUCCCCUUAAGGCAUCACCAUGACUCUGUGGCUGUUUGCUUGGUAAUGAGUGAGCUGGGCCUCUGUCCUUUUUAGUCCUGUUAUAGACCCAGCAAGAAUACAAAUAUAAAGUGUCAUCCAAAA